CUGGGCUGUGCACACAUUGCACAUUCAGGGCUCACACUCAUGCAUGGUGCACCCAUUGCACACUCAGAACUCAUGCUUGUGUGUCGGUGAGGCCAUGUACCUGUCACACACUCAGAGCUCACACUCGUGCACAGUGCACCAGUUGCACACUCAGGGCUCACACUUGUGCAUUGGUGAGGCUGUGUACCUGUUACACACUCAGAGCUCAAACUCGUGUGUGGUGUAUGCAUUGCACACUCAGGGCUCACACUUGUGUGUUGGUGAUGCCAUGUACCCAUUGCACACUCAGAGCUCACACUCAUGCACGGUGCACCCAACCCAAGGGUGCUCAGGGCUCACACUUACACGUUGGGCUCCUGUCGCACACUUGGGGCUCACAUGAGCACAGUGCGCCCAUUGCACACUCAGGGUUCACACUUACAUGCUGUGCACCUAUUGCACAUUUGGGGCCCACACUCAAGCAUGGUGCACCCAUUGCACACACAGGGCUCACAUGUACAUGCUGUGCACCCCUUGCACAUUUGGGGCUCACACUCGAGCACGGUGCACCCAUUGCACACACAGGGCUCACACUUACAUCCUGUGCACCCCUCACACAUCCAGGGCUCCCACUCGAGCACGGUGCACCCAUUGCACUCUCAGGGCUCACACAUGCUGUGCACCCCUUGCACACUCGGGGCUCACACUUGAGCACGGUGCGCCCAUUGCACACUCAGGGCUCACACUCGAGCACGGUGCACCCGCCGCUCGCGCCCGCCCUCGCGCAACCACCCCCCCCCCCCCCCCCCCCCCCCCCCCCCCCCCCCCCCCCCCCCCCCCCCCCCCCCCCCCCCCCCCCCCCCCCCCCCCCCCCCCCCCCCCCCCCCCCCCCCCCCCCCCCCCCCCUCUUCCCCGUGCACACGCGCCCUCCCUCGCGCGCCCGCCCUCGCGCCCUCCCGCCCGCGGUCACGCGACCCGAGGGGGCGGGGCCUCGCGCCACGCGGCCCCCGUCGCCGCGGCAACGGCGUG
rnacentral:lncRNA from 1 species